AUUUUUUGUUUUCCAAAUCAUUUUAUCUAUUUAAUUUUGAUUAAACAAAUGUCAAUUAUGUAUUUGUGUUAACAAUUUGUAUGGUGAUCAUUCAAUUAGGGUGGCCCAGGGAGACUUCCGAACAUGUCCUCGAUAGUUGUUAGUCCGCCACUAGAUAAACAUGAUAUGCAAAUGUUAAUGAAAUUUAUGAAAGGAGAUUUGUCAUCUGAAAUGGUAAACUACAAUUUUCCUCAGUUCGACUCUCGAGAGAUAGGCUUGUUUCACAUUAAAGCUAAAGAACAAAGAAAAAUACAGUUGAACCUCGAUAACUCGAAUCAUCAAGGAUGUUAAAAUAAUUUCGACAGA
rnacentral:lncRNA from 1 species